rnacentral:sRNA from 1 species
GCGAUGAGCUGAUUUGUGUAAGUCGAAGAAUAUGCAAUCUUGUGUGUGAACCACAUGUUUCUUCGCCACAAAUACGUAGGAGACGCCUUUUUUAGAAGGCGUC